ACACUGGUGGUUCAGUAGGAGAAUUCUCACCUGUCAUGCAGGAGACCCGAGUUCGAUUCCCAGCCAGUGCA
rnacentral:tRNA from 1 species